GACUAUGAAGAGUUGCCCAAUGUGUGAGAUGUAGGUAGCUUCAAGGGCCUGUUUUUCAGGUUUGAACCUACUUGGGGUCCUACAUUGUAAUGAGUUAUAUGGGCUUUUUAAACU
rfam:Oryza sativa (indica cultivar-group) chromosome 4, whole genome shotgun sequence.